AGGAGCCCUAUGAUGGGAGACUAUCACGUACGGUUUUGAAUCAGGGGCGUCAGAGGAAAUUCCACGUCUACUGUAAC
rfam:Marchantia polymorpha subsp. polymorpha scaffold479, whole genome shotgun sequence.